GGGUUAGUAGGUUGGUCAUGCCUCUGGUAUGUACUGAUCUCACUGAUUCCUCCCUCUUGACGAACUGUAAUGUCAUUAAUUUGGUGUUGCAGGAAAUCAGGACUGUUACUUUGAAAAAAUUAGAGUGUUUAAAGCAGGCUAAGGCUUGAAUACAUUAGCAUGGAAUAAUGAAAUAGGACGUUCGAACCUAUUUUGUUGGUUUCUAGGAUUGACGUAAUGAUUAAUAGGGAUAGUUGGGGGCAUUAGUAUUCAAUUGUCAGAGGUGAAAUUCUUGGAUUUAUUGAAGACUGACUACUGCGAAAGCAUUUGCCAAGGAUGUUUUCAUUAAUCAAGAACGAAAGUUAGGGGAUCGAAGACGAUCAGAUACCGUCGUAGUCUUAACCAUAAACUAUGCCGACUAGGGAUCGGAUGAUGUUAAUUUUUUAAUGACUCAUUCGGCGCCUUACGGGAAACCAAAGUGUUUGGGUUCCGGGGGGAGUAUGGUCGCAAAGCUGAAACUUAAAGGAAUUGACGGAAGGGCACCACCAGGGGUGGAGCCUGCGGCUUAAUUUGACUCAACACGGGGAAACUCACCAGGUCCAGACAUAGUAAGGAUUGACAGAUUGAGAGC
rnacentral:rRNA from 1 species